rnacentral:rRNA from 1 species
GAUGAACGCUGGCGGCGUGCCUAAUACAUGCAAGUCGAGCGAACGGACGAGAAGCUUGCUUCACGGAUGUUAGCGGCGGACGUGUGAGUAACACGUGGAUAACCUACCUAUAAGACUGGGAUAACUUCGGGAAACCGGAGCUAAUACCGGAUAAUAUUUUGAACCGCAUGGUUCAAAAGUGAAAGACGGUCUGGCUGUCACUUAUAGAUGGAGCCGCGCUGCAUUAGCUAGUUGGUAAGGUAACGGCUUACCAAGGCAACGAAGCAUAGCCGACCUGAGAGGGUGAUCGGCCACACUGGAACUGAGACACGGUCCAGACUCCUACGGGAGGCAGCAGUAGGGAAUUUUCAGCAAUGGGCGAAAGCCUGACGGAGCAACGCCGCGUGAGUGAUGAAGGUCUUCGGAUCGUAAAACUCUGUUAUUAGGGAAGAACAUAUGUGUAAGUAAAUGUGCAGAUCUUGACGGUACCUAAUCAGAAAGCAACGGCUAACUACGUG